CUCUUCAUCCCAACCCAGGCUGUGGGCGCCAUCAUCGGGAAGAAGGGGGCACACAUCAAACAGCUGGCGAGAUUCGCCGGAGCCUCUAUCAAGAUCGCCCCUGCGGAAGGCCCAGACGUCAGCGAAAGGAUGGUCAUCAUCACCGGGCCACCGGAAGCCCAGUUCAAGGUGAAUGAACUGCAGAACUUAACCAGUGCAGAAGUCAUCGUGCCUCGUGACCAAACGCCAGAUGAAAAUGAGGAAGUGAUCGUCAGAAUUAUCGGGCACUUCUUUGCUAGCCAGACUGCACAGCGCAAGAUCAGGGAAAUUGUACAACAGGUGAAGCAGCAGGAGCAGAAAUACCCUCAGGGAGUCGCCUCACAGCGCAGCAAGUGAGGCUCCCACAGGCACCAGCAAAACAACGGAUGAAUGUAGCCCUUCCAACACCUGACAGAAUGAGACCAAACGCAGCCAGCCAGAUCGGGAGCAAACCAAAGACCAUCUGAGGAAUGAGAAGUCUGCGGAGGCGGCCAGGGACUCUGCGGAGGCCCUGAGAACCCCAGGGGCCGAGGAGGGGUGGGGAAGGUCAGCCAGGUUUGCCAGAACCA
rnacentral:lncRNA from 1 species